rnacentral:snRNA from 1 species
GGAUGUAAGGUGAAUCUGGGUACAACUUCUGUCAACCCAUUGAUCAUCAGAUUGAUUCCAUUGCUCUGGUUGACUAAGCAUGUGUCUUUGUCCUCCAUCCCUGCUCCAUGUGCUUUCCUUCCUGAACCUGUGUGCUCCAAGAGGACAGCCUUCCCCGUGUAGAGGAGGACCAUUCUUGGCCAAGGGUCUAAUUAAAACAAUUAAACGAAAAGAGAUGAUAGAAU